rnacentral:rRNA from 1 species
GAUGAACGCUGGCGGCGUGCCUAAUACAUGCAAGUCGUACGGAAAGGCCCUUCGGGGUACUCGAGUGGCGGACGGCUGAGUAACGCGUAGGAAUAUGCCUUGAAGAGUGGGACAACUUGGGGAAACUCAAGCUAAUACCGCAUGUACUCGAGAGAGUAAAGCUGGGGACCUUUAGGCCUGGCGCUUUAAGAUUAGCCUGCGUCCGAUUAGCUAGUUGGUAGGGUAAAGGCCUACCAAGGCGACGAUCGGUAGCUGGUCUGAGAGGAUGAUCAGCCACACUGGAACUGAGAGACGGUCCAGACUCCUACGGGAGGCAGCAGUGGGGAAUAUUGGACAAUGGGGGGAACCCUGAUCCAGCAAUGCCGCGUGUGUGAAGAAGGCCUGAGGGUUGUAAAGCACUUUCAGUGGGGAGGAGGUUUGGAAGGUUAAGAGCUAUUCAAAUGGACGUUACCCACAGAAGAAGCACCGGCUAACUCCGUGCCAGCCGCCGCCGUAA